rnacentral:rRNA from 1 species
CCUACGGGUGGCAGCAGUGGGGAAUAUUGGACAAUGGGGGCAACCCUGAUCCAGCCAUGCCGCGUGUGUGAAGAAGGCCCUCGGGUUGUAAAGCACUUUCAGUGAGGAAGAACGCCUGGUGGUUAAUACCCAUCAGGAAAGACAUCACUCACAGAAGAAGCACCGGCUAACUCCGUGCCAGCAGCCGCAGGUAAUACGGAGGGUGCGAGCGUUAAUCGGAAUUACUGGGCGUAAAGCGCGCGUAGGUGGCUUGAUAAGCCGGUUGUGAAAGCCCCGGGCUCAACCUGGGAACGGCAUCCGGAACUGUCAAGCUAGAGUGCAGGAGAGGAAGGUAGAAUUCCCGGUGUAGCGGUGAAAUGCGUAGAGAUCGGGAGGAAUACCAGUGGCGAAGGCGGCCUUCUGGACUGACACUGACACUGAGGUGCGAAAGCGUGGGUAGCAAACAGGAUUAGAUACCCCUGUAGUC